CAUGCAUGUCUAAGCACAUGCCUUAAUACGGUGAAGCCGCGAAUAGCUCAUUACAACAGCCAUCGUUUACUAGAAAAUCGUUGUCCUACUUGGAUAACUGUGGCAAUUCUAGAGCUAAUACAUGCGAAAAAGCUCAGACUGAAAGGAAUGAGCGCAUUUAUUAGAAUAAAAACCAAUCGGGUCUAAAAGCCCGUCGUUUGGUGAAUCUGAAUAACUUUGCAGAUCGCACGGUCCUAGUACCGGCGACGUAUCUUUCAAGUGUCUGCCUUAUCAACUUUCGAUGGUAGGUUAUACGCCUACCAUGGUAGUAACGGGUAACGGAGAAUAAGGGUUCGACUCCGGAGAGGGAGCCUGAGAAACGGCUACCACAUCCAAGGAAGGCAGCAGGCGCGCAAAUUACCCACUUCCAGAACGGAGAGGUAGUGACGAAAAAUAACGAGACAGUCCUCUCUGAGGUCUGUCAUCGGAAUGGGUACAAUUUAAAUCCUUUAACGAGGAUCUAUUGGAGGGCAAGUCUGGUGCCAGCAGCCGCGGUAAUUCCAGCUCCAAUAGCGUAUAUUAAAGUUGUUGCGGUUAAAACGCUCGUAGUUGAAUCUGCGGCCUGGGAGAAUGGACCCCCGAAAGGGUGGUAACUGUUACUCCUAGCCUAAAUUUUUAGUCUACUCUAUGGUGCCUUUAACCGGGUGCUUAGAGUGACUGGAACGUUUACUUUGAAAAAAUUAGAGUGCUUAAAGCAGGCGAAUUUGCCUGAAUAAGGUGCAUGGAAUAAUGGAAUAGGACCUCGGUUCUAUUUUGUUGGUUUUCGGAGCCUGAGGUAAUGAU
rnacentral:rRNA from 1 species